rnacentral:rRNA from 1 species
GGCACCUCUCCGGUGCUGUCAGUCGAGCGAAUGAAUCUAAUGAGCUUGCUCUUAUGAAGUUAGCGGCGGACGGGUGAGUAACACGUGGGUAACCUGCCCAUAAGACUGGGAUAACUCCGGGAAACCGGGGCUAAUACCGGAUAACAUUUUGAACCGCAUGGUUCGAAAUUGAAAGGCGGCUUCGGCUGUCACUUAUGGAUGGACCCGCGUCGCAUUAGCUAGUUGGUGAGGUAACGGCUCACCAAGGCAACGAUGCGUAGCCCACCUGAGAGGGUGAUCGGCCACACUGGGACUGAGACACGGUCCAGACUCCUACGGGAGGCAGCAGUAGGGAAUCUUCCGCAAUGGACGAAAGUCUGACGGAGCAACGCCGCGUGAGUGAUGAAGGCUUUCGGGUCGAAAACUCUGUUGUUAGGGAAGAACACGUGCUAGUUGAAUAAGCUGGCACCUUGACGGUACCUAACCAGAAAGCCACGGCUAACUACGUGCCAGCAGCCGCGGUAAUACGUAGGUGUGCAAGCGUUAUCCGGAAUUAUUUGCGCGUCAAGCGCGCGCCGCUGGUUAACUUCAGUCUGAUGUCAAAGCUGCACGGCUCACCCGUGGAGGGUCAUUGUAACUGGUAGACUUGAGUGCUAGAAGAGGAAAGUGGCACUCCAUGUGUAGCGCUGAAAUGCGUGGAGGUAUGGACGGAACACCAGUAGUCGAAGGCUGACUCUUCUGGCUUGUCACGUGACACUGAGGCGUCGAAAGCUGAGGAGGCAACUGACUAAGAUACCUUCCGUCAGUCAUCGUCGUCAAUGAUGCAGGUGCUAAGUGUAGAGCGCUUUCCGUCCUCUGCGUGCUGAGCUAACGCAUCAAGCUACAUCCGUCUAGGGAGUACCGCCGCAGUCUGAUACUCAAUAGAAUGAACCGUGUCCGCCAUACGUCGAGCAGUCGUAUCGAGACACACGGAGAUACUCACAGCG